rnacentral:rRNA from 1 species
CCUGAGAAACCCAAAAGAUCGAAUGGGGAGAUUCAUCGUCAGCGAUUUUGGUACGUGUGCGGUUCGCGAUGUCGUAGACUCCGGUCUUCUGGCACGCGUCCGCAUGUUUUUAUUGCCUGAAUCGUCGGCGUGCACUUCUCCCCUAGUAGGACGUCGCGACCCGUUGGGUGUCGGUCUACGGCCCGGUAGGUAGCCUGUCUCGUGUGCGCUUCACGGUGUUACGCGGGGCAGACCUCCGGUUGCCCGACCGGCUGCCCGGCGGUACUCGCAAGGUAUCUGGCCGCAAAUAUUCGAACUGCGUCCGGCCCGUCGCAAGCGAGGCAAGUGUUUCCCGGAUGUACGGAUCUAAUGCCGUCACCGGGCCUUGCCAGCUGUUGGUUGACGGUGUCCUAGGACUGGCUAAAAUAAUUAUGAUACCGGUCGGCGACGCUACUGCUUUGGUACUUUC